rnacentral:rRNA from 1 species
UGGGUGACCUGCCCUCAGCUCUGGGAUAAGCCUGGGAAACUGGGUCUAAUACCGGAUAUGACUCCUCAUCGCAUGGUGGGGGGUGGAAAGCUUUUUUGUGGUUUUGGAUGGACUCGCGGCCUAUCAGCUUGUUGGUGAGGUAAUGGCUCACCAAGGCGACGACGGGCAGCCGGCCUGAGAGGGUGACCCGGCCACACGUGGGACUGAGACACGGCCCAGACCUCCGUACGGGA